UACGGAGGAUCCUAGCGUUAUCCGGAUUUACUGGGUUUAAAGGGUGCGUAGGCGGGCGUUUAAGUCCGCGGUGAAAGUCUGCGGCUCAACCGUAGGAUUGCCGUGGAUACUGGACGUCUUGGAUUCGGUCGGGGCGGGCGGAAUGCGUGGUGUAGCGGUGAAAUGCAUAGAUAUCACGCAGAACGCCGAUAGCGAAGGCAGCUCGCUGGGCCGAAAUCGACGCUGAGGCACGAAAGCGUGGGGAUCAAACAGG
rnacentral:rRNA from 1 species